AUGCCCUCAUUACUGAAAGUUACAGUGCGAUGUCUGACUGUUCAGCGAAAAUGAAGAAUGGUGAAAACGCAAAUCCCUCAGCAUUCACGAAACACAGUCUUAAGUCACACAUGGAGAAUUUUGAUGGAGUUGAUGGUCUUUGGAUGGGAAGAGUAAGCCUGUUUUAAAACAUUCUUCAAGAUGAAAGCUAGCAACUUAACCCCAAUCAUCCCAUCUAUUCAUGAAGACAAUAUGUAAUCUAUGAGGUUGAAAAUAUUUGAUUUCAUCGAGAGUUUUUCUAAAAUGAGAAGUAUUCAAAGUACACUGACUACUCUACUGCGUGCUUUGGAAGCCAGAAGGCAGCCUCUAAGAAGCAGAAUGACGUUCAGGCUUCGCAACGGUCUGUCUAUAGUUGUCACUCCUACAGCUGUGCGUGUUUACAUUAAAGCACAUGAAUGUAACUCAGGGAAAAUGUACCCACGCACCAUUUUAUCAGCAAACAUACCAUAAUGAACAUAGCAAACAGAGAUGAAGAAAUACCAAAUUAUUGGUAUUGAUCUCUUAAUUCAAAUUCAAGAUUGGGGGAAAAAACCUGAUUAACUUCAAUCACAUCAAUAGCUUGUGUGUUUUUUUGGACUAUAAAAAUCAUCUAUUUGAAAUUCCGAUUGGAAAGCUUUCCUUACUCCAAGUCACUCGUUCUAGUCUCCAUUCCUUCUCCCAGAGUUCAAAACCCCAUUUGCCAGUAACACAUUGUCUGCAUUUCCUAAGCGUGCGUG
rnacentral:lncRNA from 1 species